rnacentral:rRNA from 1 species
AGAAUGAACGUUGGCGGCGUGGAUUAGGCAUGCAAGUCGAACGGGUCCGGCUUCGGCCGGGCCAGUGGCGGAAGGGUGAGUAAGGCGACGGCAACCAACCCCGAGGUUGGGUAUAGCCGCGGGAAACUGCGGGUAAUCCCCAGCGACGUGACGACGCCGACAUCGGCGUUUCACCAAAGGCGCAAGCCGCCUUGGGACGGGCCGUCGUGGUAUUAGGUAGUUGGCGGGGUAACGGCCCACCAAGCCGAUGAUGCCUACCGGGCGUGCGAGCGUGGCCCGGCACACUGGGACUGAGACACUGCCCAGACUCUUACGGGAGGCUGCAGUCGAGAAUCUUCGGCAAUGGGCGCAAGCCUGACCGAGCGACGCCGCGUGGAGGAUGAAGGCCUUCGGGUUGUAAACUCCUGUCGAGGGGGAGGAAGGGGCAACCUUGACCGAUCCCGUGGAGGAAGCACGGGCUAAGUUCGCGCCAGCAGCCGC